rnacentral:rRNA from 1 species
UACGUAGGGGGCAAGCGUUGUCCGGAAUCAUUGGGCGUAAAGAGCGUGUAGGCGGCCCGGUAAGUCCGCUGUGAAAGUCAAAGGCUCAACCUUUGAAUGUCAGCGGAUACUGCCGGGCUAGAGUCCGGAAGAGGCGAGUGGAAUUCCUGGUGUAGCGGUGAAAUGCGUAGAGAUCGGGAGGAACACCUGUGGCGAAGGCGGCCGACUGGGCCGACCCUGACGCUGAGGCGCGAAGGCGUGGGGAGCGAACGGG